AGAGUGAACGCUGGCGGUAGGCCUAACACAUGCAGGUCGAACGGCAGCACGGUAAGAGCUUGCUCUUAUGGGUGGCGAGUGGCGGACGGGUGAGGAAUACAUCGGAAUCUACCUUUUGGUGGGGGAUAACGUAGGGAAACUUACGCUAAUACCGCAUACGCCCGUUCGGGGGAAAGCCGGGACCAGCAAUGGCCUGGUGCUGAUAGAUGAGCCGAUGUCGGAUUAGCUAGUUGGUGAGGUAAUGGCUCA
rnacentral:rRNA from 1 species